GAUUAGUUCCUUAUUUUUAGCAUUGUUUCUUUCAAGUCAGUGGCAUUAUGCUCCAUAUAAAUUGUAAUCCCCUCUUCAGUCAUUAGUUGAAUAAUACGAAGCAUUUUUGCCUCAUAUACUCUGUUUCUUUUCCAUUUGGUUCUGCCAUUGUCAAAGCUUGUGAGAAGCUUAUAACCACCACACUUGAGCAAACCCCACCUUCGCACUCUUGCGAGUUCCUCAACCAAUCUAGCGUCUUCCUCCACCAACAGUGUCACAGAUUUGAAGAUGCAUAUUAAGUGCUUGAUGAAAUGCUUGAAAGAAUAGUCGACACACUUCAAUCAGGCUAGAACACGUCCAUUUCGAGCACAAAACACCUGUUUUUCGAUCGAUUGAAGCUGUGUUAGUAAUUAAUGAAUCUGGGUUAUGAUUAAUUGAAGUCGGUUUUCAUCGGAAAGUGUUCUUCACAUAUUUAAAAGACGCCUGUAGGAGAAUAUUUGUGACCCCAACGGGAUGCCUUUGGAGGUUUUCCCUUGGGUACAAGCGUAUGCUGCUCUUUAUUUGUUGAGUGAGCAAAAAAUGAAAUAUCAUGCAAACUCGCUUAAAGAGGCGAAGAAGGUUCAAUGUCCAUUUAUGUAAGACACUCACCGACUGUUUCAACUGCUUCCAUGUUUAUCCUCUUAUUCAUGAAAAGAUUCUUUGUAUACACAAAGUAUUGUCCCAUGACUUAAAAAACAUGGACCAAAUUAGGAAUAUAGGACCUCCUGAUGUCCCAGGGACUUUUAUGUGAUUUAUUAUGUGUUGAUCUUGAUAGA